UACGUAGGGUGCGUGCGUUAAUCGGAAUUACUGGGCGUAAAGCGUGCGCAGGCGGUUUUGUAAGCCAGGUGUGAAAUCCCCGGGCUCAACCUGGGAAUGGCAUUUGGGACUGCAAGGCUGGAGUGCGGCAGAGGAGACUGGAAUUCCUGGUGUAGCAGUGAAAUGCGUAGAUAUCAGGAGGAACACCGAUGGCGAAGGCAGGUCUCUGGGCUGACACUGACGCUCAUGCACGAAAGCGUGGGGAGCAAACAGG
rnacentral:rRNA from 1 species